UGAUUUUGAACCUCUAAGUCAUUUCUUUCU
rnacentral:piRNA from 1 species